GGAGCUGGGGUUCAGUGGCAGGACACCUGCAUUGCAAUGCAGAAGGUCCUGGGUUCGAUCCCCAGCAUCUCCA